ACGGGUGCACGUGAUGACUUUCUGACUUUUUUCCCCAUCAGAGCGGACGUGGUGAUCUCUUUUUGCUGUUCAGCCAGAAAUGGUCUGAUGCACCAGG
rnacentral:snoRNA from 1 species